CGAAGAAGCAGGGAUCAUCUUCGCAAAUCUGCAACUGAAGCCCCAAGCAAGCGCCCACUCCCAACACUAGCCCCGUGUAACUCACUAGCCACCAUCGUCACACAAUAAGCCAUGAGAUCUGAGAAGGGAUUUCGAAUUCAGAGUCGAAGCCAGUCGAAGAAGGUGAAGUCACUAUUCUUCUCAGUUCUUAGAGAUGCCCUACAUCUAUCAUAACCUUGAAGUUCCCAUAACUUGAAGUUCAACCAUCAGCUUUGUCAGCGGGUGCCAAUUAUACCAUCAUCAUAGCAUGGCAAGCACCGAUCGGGACAUGAUAAAAGAUAUCAAUAAUA